CAGUCGCCACGGUAACACGUAGGUGGCGAGCGCUGUCCGGAAUUAUUGGGCGUAAAGGGGGCGCAGGCGGGCGAGUAAGUCUUUCUUAAAAGUGCGGGGCUCAACCCCGUGAGGGGAGAGAAACUACUCAUCUUGAGUGCAGGAGAGGAAAGCGGAAUUCCUAGUGUAGCGGUGAAAUGCGUAGAUAUUAGGAAGAACACCAGUGGCGAAGGCGGCUUUCUGGACUGUAACUGACGCUGAGGCUCGAAAGCCAGGGGAGCGAACGGGAUUAGAUACCCGCGUAGUCCCUGUCUCUUAUACU
rnacentral:rRNA from 1 species